rnacentral:rRNA from 1 species
GACGAACGCUGGCGGCGUGCUUAACACAUGCAAGUCGAACGGUGAAGCGCCUUCCUUUUUGGUGGGUGUGGAUGAGUGGCGAACGGGUGAGUAACACGUGAGUAACCUGCCCCCUUCUUCUGGAUAACCGCAUGAAAGUGUGGAUAAUACGGGAUAUUCUGGGUCUGUCGCAUGAUGGGUCUGGGAAAGAUAUUGUUUCGGUGGGGGAUGGGCUCGCGGCCUAUCAGCUUGUUGGUGGGGUGAUGGCCUACCAAGGCGGUGACGGGUAGCCGGCCUGAGAGGGUGGACGGUCACACUGGGACUGAGACACGGCCCAGACUCCUACGGGAGGCAGCAGUGGGGAAUAUUGCACAAUGGGCGCAAGCCUGAUGCAGCGACGCCGCGUGAGGGAUGGAGGCCUUCGGGUUGUGAACCUCUUUCGCCAGUGAAGCAGGCCUGCCUCGUUUGUGGGUGGGUUGACGGUAGCUGGAUAAGAAGCGCCGGCUAACUACGUG